rnacentral:rRNA from 1 species
UACGAGGGGGGCAAGCGUUGUUCGGAAUUAUUGGGCGUAAAGGGUGCGUAGGCGGUUUGAUAAGUCUUAUGUGAAAUCUAUGGGCUCAACCCAUAGUCUGCAUAGGAAACUGUCGGGCUUGAGAGUGGGAGAGGUGAGUGGAAUUUCCGGUGUAGCGGUGAAAUGCGUAGAUAUCGGAAGGAACACCUGUGGCGAAAGCG